rnacentral:rRNA from 1 species
UUAAAGAGUAAGGGUGCUAGCCGCCCGACCUCC